rnacentral:rRNA from 1 species
UACGUAGGGGGCAAGCGUUGUCCGGAUUCAUUGGGCGUAAAGAGCGUGUAGGCGGCCAGGUAGGUCGGUUGUGAAAACUGGAGGCUCAACCUUCAGAGGUCGACCGAAAACCAUCUGGCUAGAGUCCGGGAGAGGAGAGUGGAAAUUCCUGGUGUAGCGGUGAAAUGCGCAGAUAUCAGGAAGAACACCCGUGGCGAAAAGCGGCUCUCUGGAACGGUACUGACGCUGAAGACGCGAAAAGCGUGGGGGAGCGAAACAGG